rnacentral:rRNA from 1 species
GCAUAUCAUAAGCGCAGGAAAAGAAACUAACUAGGAUGCCUUCAGUAACGGCGAGCGAAGCAGGCAUAGCUCAAAUUUGUAAUCUGGCGCCUUUGGCGUCCGAGUUGUAUUUUCUAGAAGCGAGUUCGGCGACAGCUCCUACCCAAGUCCGUUGGAACGCGGCGUCAUGGAGGGUGAGAAUCCCGUGAAUGGUAGGAUGUCUGCUGCUAUGUGAACCGCCUUCGAAGAGUCGAGUUGUUUGGGAAUGCAGCUCUAAAUGGGAGGUAAAUUUCUUCUAAAGCUAAAUAUUGGCCAGAGACCGAUAGCGAACAAGUAGAGUGAUCGAAAGAUGAAAAGAACUUUGAAAAGAGAGUUAAACAGUACGUGAAAUUGUUGAAAGGGAAGCGCUUGAGAUCAGACUUCCUGUCUGGACUGUCCUUGCUUUUGCUUGGGUCAACAGUCCAGGCGUGGAGGCCAGCAUCAGUUUUGACGGCCGGAUAAAGGCCAUGGGAAGGUAGCUCCUCUCGGGGAGUGUUAUAGCCCAGGGUGUAAUACGGCCAGUUGGGACUGAGGACCGCGGCUUUGCCUAGGAUGCUGGCGUAAUGGUCUUAAGCGACCCGUCUUGAAACACGGACCAAGGAGUCUAACAUCUGUGCGAGUGUUUGGGUGGAAAACCCGUGCGCGAAAUGAAAGUGAAUGGAGGUGGGAUCCGCAAGGUGCACCAUCGACCGAUCCGGAUUUUUUUGAAGGAUUUGAGUAAGAGCAUAGCUGUUGGGACCCGAAAGAUGGUGAACUAUGCCUGAAUAGGGCGAAGCCAGAAGAAACUCUGGUGGAGGCUCGUAGCGGUUCUGACGUGCAAAUCGAUCGUUCGAAAAUUUGGGUAUAGGGGGCGAAAGACUAAUCGAACCAUCUAGUAGCUGGUUCCCUGCCGA